GCCGGGUGUGGUGGUGCACACCUGUAAUCCCAGCGGUUCCGGAGGCUGAGGCAGGAGGAUGGCAAGUUCAAAGCCAGCCUCCGCAAAGGCGAGGCACUAAGUAACUCAGUGAGAUCCUGUCUCUC
rnacentral:sRNA from 1 species